rnacentral:rRNA from 1 species
GACAGAGGGUGCAAACGUUGUUCGGAAUUACUGGGCGUAAAGCGCGUGUAGGCUGCUUGGAAAGUCGGAUGUGAAAGCCCUGGGCUCAACCUAGGAAGUGCAUUCGAAACUUCCAAGCUCGAGUUUCGGAGAGGAAGGCGGAAUUCUCGGUGUAGAGGUGAAAUUCGUAGAUAUCGAGAGGAACACCUGAGGUGAAGACGGGUUGCUGGGCUGACACUGACGCUGAUGCGCGAAAGCCAGGGUAGGCAAACGGG